CAUAACCUUUAGCCAAACCAGUAUUAAAGGCAACGCCUGCCCAGUGAACAAUUAAACGGCCGCGGUACCCUAACCGUGCAAAGGUAGCGUAAUCAUUUGUCUAUUAAUUGUAGACCUGUAUGAAAGGCAUAAUGAGGGCCUAACUGUCUCUUUUAGUAAAUCAAUUAAACUGAUCUCCCAGUCCAAAAGCUGGGAUACUGACAUAAGACCAGAAGACCCUGUGAAACUUUAACUAAACUAUUAAAACCCAUAAUAACUACUUUAGGUUGGGGCGACCUUGGAAAAAAAAAGAACUUCCAAACACAUAUUAUAUAAUAAUAUACCCUUAGGCCAACAAGCCUACAACGACCCAGCACAGCUGAUAAUUGAACCAAGCUACUCCAGGGAUAACAGCGCUAUCUUCUUCAAGAGCCCAUAUCAAAAAGAAGGUUUACGACCUCGAUGUUGGAUCAGGACAUCCUGAUGGUGCAACCGCUAUUAAGGGUUCGUUUGUUCAACGAUUAACAGUCCUACGUGAUCUG
rnacentral:rRNA from 1 species